rnacentral:rRNA from 1 species
CAGAGGGGGCAAGCGUUGUUCGGAAUUACUGGGCGUAAAGGGCGCGUAGGCGGCCUGUUAAGUCAGACGUGAAAUCCCCGGGCUCAACCCGGGAACUGCGUCUGAUACUGGCAGGCUUGAAUCCGGGAGAGGGAUGCGGAAUACCAGGUGUAGCGGUGAAAUGCGUAGAUAUCUGGAGGAACACCGGUGGCGAAGGCGGCAUCCUGGACCGGCAUUGACGCUGAGGCGCGAAAGCCAGGGGAGCAAACGGGAUUAGAUACCCCGGUAGUCCUGGCCCUAAACGAUGAAUGCUUGGUGUGGCGGGUAUCGAUCCCUGCUGUGCCGAAGCUAACGCAUUAAGCAUUCCGCCUGGGGAGUACGGUCGCAAGGCUG